rnacentral:rRNA from 1 species
UAGGGAAUCUUCGGCAAUGGGUGGAACCCUGACCGAGCAACGCCGCGUGAGUGAAGAAGGUUUUCGGAUCGUAAAGCUCUGUUGUUAAGGAAGAACGAGUGUGAGAAUGGAAAGUUCAUACUGUGACGGUACUUAACCAGAAAGGGACGGCUAACUACGUGCCAGCAUCCGCGGUAAUACGUAGGUCCCGAGCGUUGUCCGGAUUUAUUGGGCGUAAAGCGAGCGCAGGCGGUUAGAUAAGUCUGAAGGUAAAGGCAGUGGCUCAACCAUUGUAGGCUUUGGAAACUGUUGAACUUGAGUGCAGAAGGGGAGGGUGGAAUUCAAUGUGUAGCGGUAAAAUGCGUAGAUAUAUGGAGGAACACCGGUGGCGAAAGCGGCUCUCUGGUCUGUAACUGACGAUGAGGCUCGAAAGCGUGGGGAGCGAACAGG